rnacentral:rRNA from 1 species
UACGUAGGGGGCGAGCGUUGUCCGGAUUUAUUGGGCGUAAAGGGCGUGUAGGCGGCCAGAUAAGUCGGGAGUGAAACCCCGGGGCUUAACCCCGGGCCUGCUUCCGAAACUGUAUGGCUUGAGUGCUCUAGAGGGCAGUGGAAUUCCCGGUGUAGCAGUGAAAUGCGUAGAGAUCGGGAGGAACACCAGUGGCGAAGGCGACUGCCUGGGGAGUAACUGACGCUGAGGCGCGAAAGCUAGGGGAGCGAACAGGAUUAGAUACCCUGGUAGUCCUAGCCGUAAACGAUGAGUGCUAUGUGUGAGGGGUAUCGACCCCCCUCGUGCAGCAGUUAACGCAAUAAGCACUCCGCCUGGGGAGUACGGCCGCAAGGUUGAA